rnacentral:lncRNA from 13 species
UAUUAUUCCCUAGGACAUCAGCCUUUCUUUAUGUGCUUAUAGAUUAUCAAAUCAAAUCAUCUUCCAUAGAUAUAGGGGAAGGUUACUCUUCUAUAAACACACACACACACACACACACGCACACACGCACACACACACCCCUACCUCCCCCAAACAUAGCAGUAGCAAUGUGAGUUGGGUAGUGAGUGAGCUAAGAAACAGAAACUCAAAGGGGAAAAAGAUCAAUACAUAUCUUCAUAAACUUCCCGUGGCGUAAGGAGCACAACAGAUGAGCAGGAAAUCACUGAAUGAAUAAAGUAGUCACCAGUUGCGAUAAGCUUGGUGGCAGACAUAGCAAGAAGAUGGAAGACAGCCGUCUGAGAUUCAGGAAGAGAGACCUCACCAGGAACUGAAUCAGCCACCACCUUAUCUUGAUGUCCCAGCCUCCAGGUACAGAGCAGGGAGUCUAAAGGACAAUACAAAUGAUGAUCUCAUGCGAUCCCCAAAUGGAAUACACAGGCAGAAAGCAUAUGAGGAGAAGCAUGAACCAAGACACAAAGCUAAUGGAGUCUGGAACUGGGGAGUUGAAGCCCAGAAAAAACAGAAGGACCAUGAAUUCUUUAAGCCAUAAAGAACGAGCUACAUACAUUUUGUUGUGGUUCCUGCUGCAGUGGGCAGACAGGCUGAGGUCUACCCGUGGCCCACCCUGACUGGAAGCUUAGAAGAAAGGGAAUUCUAGAAGUGUGGUUCAACAUAGCCAAGUUAACAAAGCCACCAAACCUAACAGCAUUGAUAACGGAGUUUAAAAGGAUGAUCCUGGAUGUUCUAAGGUUUGGUUGCUUGUAUUGGAGCUGGAUAAUGAUGCAUUGAAAAGAUGUUGGAUUUUCUGCAAUAGUCUCAUGAACACAUUAUUUGUUAAUUUUGUGGCCCUCUGUCACUUUAAUAAAGGACAACUCAAAUCUUGGGCUUCA